rnacentral:rRNA from 1 species
GAUGAACGCUGGCGGCGUGCCUAAUACAUGCAAGUCGAGCGAACAGACGAGGAGCUUGCUCCUCUGACGUUAGCGGCGGACGGGUGAGUAACACGUGGAUAACCUACCUAUAAGACUGGGAUAACUUCGGGAAACCGGAGCUAAUACCGGAUAAUAUAUUGCACCGCAUGGUUCAAUAGUGAAAGACGGUUUUGCUGUCACUUAUAGAUGGAUCCGCGCCGCAUUAGCUAGUUGGUAAGGUAACGGCUUACCAAGGCAACGAUGCGUAGUCGACCUGAGAGGGUGAUCGGCCACACUGGAACUGAGACACGGUCCAGACUCCUACGGGAGGCAGCAGUAGGGAAUCUUCCGCAAUGGGCGAAAGCCUGACGGAGCAACGCCGCGUGAGUGAUGAAGGUCUUCGGAUCGUAAAACUCUGUUAUUAGGGAAGAACAAAUGUGUAAGUAACUAUGCACGUCUUGACGGUACCUAAUCAGAAAGCCACGGCUAACUACGUG